ACUCCGUUGCUAAUUCCCGCCGCCGCCGCGCCUGCUGCUGUUGCUAUUUCCCACCACCACCGUGCCUGAUGUUCAGACUAAUGCACCUCCCAGCCCCACCUUCGUUGCUGCCGUUGCUACUCCGUUGCUAAUUCCUGCCGCUGCCACGCCUGCUGUUUAGGCUACUGCACCUCCCAGCCCCUUCGCUGUCGCUGCUGCUGCUGCUGUGUUGCUAUUUCCCGCCACCGCCACGCCUGCCGUUUAGGCUACUGCACCUCCCAGCCCCACCUUCAUCGCGGCCGCUGCUACUCCGUUGCUAAAUCCUGCCACCGCCGCGCCUGCUGCUGUCUCUAUUUCCCGCCGCUGCUGCGCCUGCCGUUGAGGCUACUGCAUCUCCCAACCCCACCGCCGUCGCUGCUGGUGCUGCUGCUGUGUUGCUAAUUCCCGCCGCCUCCACGCCUGCCGUUUAGGCUACUGCACCUCCCAGCCCCACCUUCGUCGCUGCCGCUGCUACUCCGUUGCUAAUUCCUGCCGCCGCCGCGCCUGCUGCUGUCUCUAUUUCCCGCCGCUGCCGCGUCUGAUGUUUAGGCUACUGCACCUCCCAGCCCCACCUUCGUCGCUGCCGCUGCUACUCCAUUGCUAAUUCCUGCCACCGCCGCGCCUGCUGCUGUCUCUAUUUCCCGCCGCUGCUGCGCCUGCCGUUUAGGCUACUGCACCUACCAGCCCCACCUUCAUCGCGGCCGCUGCUACUCCGUUGCUAAUUCCUGCCGCCGCCACGCCUGCUGCUGUUGCUAUUUCCCCCCGCCGCUGUGCCUGCUGUUGAGACUAAUGGCCCUCCCAGCCCCACCGCCGUUGCUGCCGCUGCUACUCCGUUGCUAAUUCCCGCCGCCGCCGCGCCUGCUGCUGUUGCUAUUUCCCACCGCCACCGCGCCUGUUGUUCAGACUAAUGCACCUCCCAGCCCCACCUUCGUUGCUGCCGCUGCUACGCCGUUGCUAAUCCCCCCCGCCGCCGCGCCUGCUGUUGAGAGUAAUGGCCCUCCCAGCCCCACCUUCGUCGCUGCUGCUGCUGUUGCGUUGCUAUUUCCCGCCGCCGCCACGCCUGCCGUUUAGGCUACUGCACCUCCCAGCCCCACCUUCAUCGCGGCCGCUGCUACUCCGUUGCUAAAUCCUGCCACUGCCGCGCCUGCUGCUGUCUCUAUUUCCCGCCGCUGCUGCGCCUGCCGUUUAGGCUACUGCAUCUCCCAACCCCACCGCCAUCGCUGCUGGUGCUGCUGCUGUGUUGCUAAUUCCCGCCGCCU
rnacentral:lncRNA from 1 species